rnacentral:sRNA from 1 species
CAUAUUUUUAAAUAUUUUUGUUGGUCAAUGUUGGUCAACGAUGAUCAACACCGGAUUUCGACAAUUGGUAUACCAGAAAAAUAUGUUCGUGAGGUUGGCCACAUGUCAUCAUAUAGUUGGUAUAUGUGGGCAUACAAUAAAUCUACUUCGUGUAGUUGGUUGUACAUUUUUGAACUUGGCAUGUGUUGGCAUGUAAUCUGUUAUACUUGGUAUAGCUGAAUAUUUUUUCCCUAUUUAAAAUGGUUGUAUAAAAUGAGCUAAGAAGGUCACUAUCAAUAUAUAACUACAUAAGACCUUAAGAAAAAAACACAUUAGCUUUAAGAACUGAUACAUUGUCAUAAUGAAAAUUUGGGUAGUAAACAAAAGAGGUAAAAGACACAUGGCUUAAGUAGACCAUUUUUUAUAGUUAUUGUUUUAAGAAAAAAAA